CAGGGUAUAGCUUAAAACAAAGCCCUUCGCUUACACCGAAUUGAUGUCCGCUAAACCCGAACUACCCUGAG
rnacentral:tRNA from 1 species